rnacentral:misc_RNA from 1 species
UGAGAUAACCACCUCAUUUAACAAUAGGUCUUGACUUCUUUCUUGAAUAGCUCUUUCCUCUUUACACACACUGAGCAAUUUCUUUCUCUUGUAUAUAAAACAGCAGCCCAGUCCCAAUAGCAAAACAGCAAUGCCCACUGCAAUGCCAAUAAUAAGAGCACCCACAUUCCUAUCAUUACCUAUAUCAGAAGCAGCCAAUCUGACAUAGAGAUCUUGACCACCUUCUGCGUAUUGUCUCAUAUCUGAGAGCUCAUUAACCCAAAUCACACAUCCUGUGCCUCCAUUGCUAAUAUUUGAAUUGGCAUAAGCAGUGCAAGAACAGUUCCUCAAGCAUAACAAUUCACAGUCUUUGAGACUCAUUUUAAUAUCCACAGAUGAGGUUGAGCUUUCUGGCAAUUUCAUG